rnacentral:lncRNA from 11 species
GUUCAAUUUCCUAACAGAUCAUUAACUAACCCCUUCCUUAUAACUACAUGAAUUAAUGGUGGUGGAAUCCAGAGAGGUUCAUUGAAUGAACUACCUACUUUGGCAGUUAUUUCCUAAUAGCUGAGAAUGCCUUUUAUUUCAAUGUGUACCUACAUCCAUCAACUGUACAAUGAACUGAAAGACAAAGCUUUAAAGGGGAACCGCCCCCCUCAAUAAUGUUUGAUUCACAGGUGCUAUGGGAUAGAAGAAUUAGCAUUUUCUGGUUGGUAAUCCAAGAAAGAGGCCUCUCUUAUUGGAGUGUAUAAAUAAGCUUAUUUAAAGCCCAUGAAAUUGGAACUGCCUCAGAUGUCGGGAAUUAGAAGAUUAGCUUCGCUGUGAUUCUGGUUUUUCCGCCUACAUUAUGAGUCCUGCAGGUGUUUUGGACUCAAAAACCUUGGAUCAAGGAUUCUGGGAGCUAAGGUUCGAAACAUUUAGAAGAUGAGAAUUUGGGGAACACUAUGGGUAAUGAAACUGCUGCAAUAUAAGAAGGAACACUGACCCAGUUGCCUUAGGGCUCAUCCAGACAGUACCUUUAUCCCAGGAGCUCCCACAACAAACAGGAGGGUGGCUAGACACCGUUCCCUGUAAACCCGGAAGCAACUGCUACAAAAGGCAAAAACCGCAAGAUUUCCAGCCGCAGGGAGAGUUGGAUAAUAAAUUCGUCGUCGUCAUCAUCGUCGUCAUCAUCAUCAUCAGGUCUUAUCAAGCA